rnacentral:rRNA from 1 species
UGCCUACGGGAGGCAGCAGUGGGGGAUAUUGCACAAUGGGGGGAACCCUGAUGCAGCGACGCCGCGUGGGUGAAGAAGCGCCUUGGCGCGUAAAGCCCUGUCAGCAGGGAAGAAAAUGACGGUACCUGAAGAAGAAGCCCCGGCUAACUACGUGCCAGCAGCCGCGGUAAUACGUAGGGGGCAAGCGUUAUCCGGAUUCACUGGGUGUAAAGGGAGCGUAGACGGCCGUGCAAGCCAGGAGUGAAAGCCCGGGGCCCAACCCCGGGACUGCUCUUGGAACUGUGCGGCUAGAGUGCGGGAGGGGG